UGCCCAGCAACUCCUAUCCCUACCUCCACGCGGUACCGGCCGGAAACUAUGAGCAACCUUAGCGAAGAUCGGGUAACCAACCCCGGUGGGAACUUUGGUCGUAGGCUGACAGGAAAUG
rnacentral:ribozyme from 1 species